rnacentral:rRNA from 1 species
GACGAACGCUGGCGGCGUGCUUAACACAUGCAAGUCGAACGAUGAAGCCCAGCUUGCUGGGUGGAUUAGUGGCGAACGGGUGAGUAACACGUGAGUAACCUGCCCUGGACUCUGGGAUAACCCCGAGAAAUCGGAGCUAAUACCGGAUAGGACCUUUCCCCGCAUGGGGUUUGGUGGAAAGUUUUUCGGUUUGGGAUGGACGCGCGGCCUAUCGGCUUGUUGGUGAGGUAAUGGCUCACCAAGGCGUCGACGGGUAGCCGGCCUGAGAGGGUGACCGGCAACACUGGGACUGAGACACGGCCCAGACUCCUACGGGAGGCAGCUGUAGGGAAUAUUGCACAAGGGGCGCAAGCCUUAUGCAGCAACGCCGCGUGCGGGAUGACGGCCUUCGGGUUGUAAACCGCUUUUAGUAAGGAAGAAGGGGCUUCGGCCUUGACGGUACUUGCAGAAAAAGGACCGGCUAACUACGUGCCAGCAGCCGCAGUAAGAC